rnacentral:rRNA from 1 species
CGGGACGGGUGAGUAACACGUGAGCAACCUGCCUUUCAGAGGGGAAUAACGUUUGGAAACGAACGCUAAUACCGCAUAACAUUGGGAUAUGGCAUCAUGACCCAAUCAAAGAUUUAUCGCUGAAAGAUGGGCUCGCGCCCGAUUAGGUAGUUGGUGAGAUAAUAGCCCACCAAGCCGACGAUCGGUAGCCGGACUGAGAGGUUGAACGGCCACAUUGGGACUGAGACACGGCCCAGACUCCUACGGGAGGCAGCAG